rnacentral:rRNA from 1 species
GAUGAACGCUAGCGGCAGGCCUAAUACAUGCAAGUCGAACGGUAACAGGUGUAGCAAUACAUGCUGACGAGUGGCAGACGGGUGAGGAACACGUACACAACUUCCCUCUUACCGGGGCACAACUCAGAGAAAUCUGGGCUAAUUCCCCGUAAUAUCACGAUGUGGCAUCACAUUGAGAUUAAAACUCCGGUGGUAAGCGAUGGGUGUGCGUCUGAUUAGCAGUUGGUGAGGUAACGGCUCACCAAGGCAACGAUCAGUAACUGGUGUGAGAGCACGACCAGUCACACGGGCACUGAGAUACGGGCCCGACUCCUACGGGAGGCAGCAGUAAGGAAUAUUGGACAAUGGGCGAAAAGCCUGAUCCAGCCAUGCCGCGUGAGUGAAGAAGGCCUUAGGGUUGUAAA